UACGUAGGGGGCAAGCGUUGUCCGGAAUCAUUGGGCGUAAAGCGCGUGUAGGCGGCUUUGGUAAGUCUGCUCUGAAACCCUCAGGCUCAACCUGGGGACGCCACCCGAUACUGCUGUGGCUAGAGUCCAGUAGGGGAGUGUGGAAUUCCCGGUGUAGCGGUGAAAUGCGCAGAUAUCGGGAGGAACACCAGCGGCGGAAGGCGGCACUCUGGGCUGGAACUGACGCUGAGGAGCGAAAAGCGUGGGUACGCAACGAGAG
rnacentral:rRNA from 1 species